rnacentral:lncRNA from 1 species
GGGUAGCCAUUUUGAGUGACUAAAGAAGGCCCAGUUAAGGAGUGUCAUGGUUUUGGACUCAUUGUUGAAUGAGCUCAAAUAAAUAGCUGAGAUAUUGAGUGGAGAAGGAUUGAGAAGUGUGGUGACGGGAUCGUGUGGGUAUUGACAGUUUUCGACGGUUAGGGGCUGGAUUCUGGUGGUGGUCUACUGAUGGUGUAUUGCUGCUGAUCAGGGCUGCUUGAAUGGUGGUGGCUAUUGUGGCG